rnacentral:rRNA from 1 species
AUUGAACGCUGGCGGCAGGCUUAACACAUGCAAGUCGAGCGGAGAUGAGGUGCUUGCACCUUAUCUUAGCGGCGGACGGGUGAGUAAUGCUUAGGAAUCUGCCUAUUAGUGGGGGACAACAUUCCGAAAGGAAUGCUAAUACCGCAUACGUCCUACGGGAGAAAGCAGGGGAUCUUCGGACCUUGCGCUAAUAGAUGAGCCUAAGUCGGAUUAGCUAGUUGGUGGAGUAAAGGCCUACCAAGGCGACGAUCUGUAGCGGGUCUGAGAGGAUGGUCCGCCACACUGGGACUGAGACACGGCCCAGACUACGACGGGAGGCAGCAGUGGAGAAUAUUGGACAAUGGGGGGAACCCUGAUCCAGCCAUGCCGCGUGUGUGAAGAAGGCCUUAUGGUUGUAAAGCACUUUAAGCGAGGAGGAGGCUACUGAGACUAAUACUCUUGGAUAGUGGACGUUACUCGCAGAAUAAGCACCGGCUAACUCUGUGCCAGCAGCCGCAGUAACAC